AAGAGGAGGGUACAAACAGAGGGACCUCUCACAACAUCCAUGCUUUUGCAAAAAAGAGAAAAGAGGAGGGUUCACAACAUCCAUGCUUUUGCAAAAAAGGAGAAAAGAGGAGAGUACAAACAGAGGAACCCCUCACAACAUCCAUGCUUCUGCAAAAAAGGAGAAAAGAGGAGGGUACAAACAGAGGAAGAGAGGAUCGCAAGGCGAGGACGGCGUGAUCCCAGGGUUGGAGAUCACGCGGUCGCGACAGGCUGGCGGUGUCAGGAGCCAUGCGCGCCUGUCGUUGGCCGAGCUUUUAAAAGGAAGAGAGCAAACAGUAGAUGGGGGGUUCUCGACUGGUUUUUUUGGUCGAGAGAGAACAAAGAGCACCGGAGAGCGAGCUUGAGAGAGGGAGAGACGAUCGGGGAGAGAGCGUUUCGCCGUCGCCUGAAGUACGCCCGUUGCUCGCCAUCCGAACCAGGGUUUUGAGUUGUGAACAAAGACGUUUUGAGUUGUGAACAAAGAUGUCUACAGGUAUAUUUCUCUCCCUACUAAUUAUUAAUUAUUUUAUUUUUUAUUUGAAGAAUUUAUUUUGAUUAAUAACUAGAGAUAAAUUUGAAUUAAUUUUUUUGGUUUGGGUAAAUUUAAGGAGACUAAACAUGUCCAUGGGCAGGCCACGCCCUCUGCCCAUGCCCAUGUGGAUUUCCUUAACUCAAGUUUGUUUUUUUUUCUAGAGAUUUAUUUUGAUUAAAAGUAAACUAAAUAUUUGUUUUAAAUUAAAAGUAAACUAAAUAUUUGUUUUAAGCUUCAAUCAAAUUAUCCUUUGUUCUAAGCGUCAAGAUCAAAUUUCCAUUAAAUUUCCAUCAAAUUUGUAUCAUUAACGAAAUUAAAACUUAGGAUGAAAGGGCAUUAUUGAAAAUUUGUAUGAUUAACUUUUUUUUUCUUUUUUUUUUUGAGGAACUUAAUGAAAGGUUAGCAAUAUGUGGGGGUGGGCUUGAAGGAGGUCGGUGAUCCUCAUGGAAAGUAUUAAAUUAUUUACUCAUAAGCCGUUAUUUUCCACUGAAUUAUUAACGAAGAACAAUGAGAAUGAGAUAAACUAUGCAUAGGUGUAAAACAGCGGGCUAAGGUGAGGCUUGAGGCUAUGAUACUUACAUUUGCUAACAUCAAAUAGGCAGGCUAAUUGAUACUUGAAAUUUUCUUUUUCAGAGAUCAAUAAAGGUUAUUAAUGAUAACAAACCUACUGCUCUAUUCAUAGAGCUAUCGAAGGAUAGAAAAGCUUACUUAACAAUCCGGAUUCUGAAUUUUGCAUGGCCGUCAAAGUGGGCAAAAAAUAUCACGCCAAGAUUAUAAUGGGAGACAUGUCCCAGAAGGACAUAAUGAACAAUAUUUACAUGCACAUGACAACAUGAGAAGCCCCUCUUCCAUUACUUGUGCCAGCAAUUUAACAUGGAGAUUCCGGAUCCAAAUGAUCCGAAUGUGUCAUUCACCUACAGCCAAUCGCAGAUUAUCACUACAAAUUUACAACACUUUCCCUCUUCAGAAAACAUUUUGGUGGAGAAAAGAAACAAGCUUCCGAUAGCACUCUAUUCGCAUUCAACGGACGUGCUUGAUUUCAAACUCUAAAAGGGCGAGAAAAAGAGGAAAAACGUGACCGAACACACAGCAGCCGAGGAGGAGGAUUGCUAGGAAACAACGACCUGGCGAGGAAUGUGAGGAGGCAGCAAGUGCAGACUCGUGAUCCGAUCGGGGAUCUAGUCGGAUCCAGGGGGGCUGGGCCUGUGGGAGAAGAAGAAGAAUUAGGCGGGAAAAAGAAGAAGAGGAAAACGAUUUUGUUUGAGCAUAUAUAAAAUUCAAUCUAAACUUCAAGUUCGGACGUGCUUGAUUUCAAAGUAUGCGAACACACAGCAGCCGAGGAGACAUCGGAUUGCUCGAGAGACUUGGCGGAGGAAUGUGAGGAGGCGCAAAUCACUUGAGGAGGCGGCAAGACUCAAGGAGAGGUGCGAUCCGAUUGGGGAUCCAGGAGAGGUGCGAUUGGGGGGGCCGAGCUCUGCGCUCUGCCUCCUGUGGGAGCGGCGAUGAAGAAGAAGAACGAAGAAGAAGAAUUAGGCGAGAAAAAGAAGAAGAGGAAAACGAUUUUGUGACGUGUCCAACUGAUAUUUAUACAAAUGAGGCAAAGCUUCCCCGGGUGACAUGUCCAACUGAUAUUUAUACAAAUGAGGCAAAGCUCGACGCUUUGUCGGUGUUUAUAUGCGGCGUGUUGAACCGGUGUGGGAAGAGGUUCGAAGACGCUACGAAAAGCAGAGAUGCUCGCGGACAAUGUCUGGCAUCACCUUAGAACCAGCCCUAGCGUCACGACGCAGCAAUGGCUCGACCGGCUCGGGGACAAAAGUGCUUGC